GUUAACGUAGCGCAGUGGUUAAGACCGUUGUUUUGCAAAUUUUCGAUGCAGGUUCGAUUCCCGCCGGUGUCA